CUUGUUCCUUUACUCCCUUAGGUCUCCCUGUAAAUUCAAACACGGUUACAGAAUCUGACUUCUUAGGCCAGAGAGAUGGCUCAGCUGCUAAGAGUAUAUGCUGCUUUUACAAAGAACCAGAGUUUGGUUCCCAGUACCCAGCAGCCCAGUGGACAACUAUCUCUGAGAGAGGAGACAGACCCACGAAGAGGAGAGACUAUCGCCACUGGGAAAGGCUGGAAAAACAAGCAUUUUGUGGUUGGAGAAGAAAGAGUUUUUAAGCACUCAUAUCCAAAAGGAGAUGGAACAUAGCAGUGGAAUGGAAUAACAGAAUGUAAAAACCCUCAGAAAUGUAGAGUGAGUGUUGCCGGGAUUUUUGAGCAAAUACUCUGAGGAAAAGAAUGGUUCAUGGGAAGUCAUGAGGAAGGCAGAGUCACGAAUGUGAAGAAACAUGCUAGAAAGCUGAUCCUUUCCUAAUCACAGAGCCGUGAGCAGUUUGUAAGUGUGGAACACAAUAGUUACUGCUGUCAAGAUUCUGCUACGAUAAUGAAAUAAAGAUACAGGCAACUAAA